rnacentral:tRNA from 1 species
GCGAGUAUAGCUCAGCUGGUAGAGCUUCUGGUUCCCAACCAGACGGUCGUGAGUUCGAAUCUCAUUGCUCGCUCCA